UCCGGGGUAGUUCAAUGUUAGAACGCUCGGCUUCGAACCGAGAGGGUGCUGGUGCAAGUCCAGCCCCCGGAC
rnacentral:tRNA from 1 species